GAUGAACGCUAGCGGCAGGCCUAAUACAUGCAAGUCGAGGGGUAAAUAUGUGGCAAUAUAUAUGAGACUGGCGCACGGGUGCGUAACACGUAUGCAACCUACCUAUUACUGGGGCAUAGCUCAGAGAAAUCUGAAUUAAUACCCCAUAACACUGCGAAACGGCAUCGUUUUGCAGUUAAAGCUCCGGCGGUAAUAGAUGGGCAUGCGGAACAGUAGCUAGUUGGUGAGGUAAUGGCUCACCAAGGCUACGAUGUUUAGGGGGUCGGAGAGGAUGAUCCCCCAGACGGGUACUGAGACACGAACAAGACUCCUACGGGAGGCAGCAGUAGGGAAUAUUGGUCAAUGGACUCAAGUCUGAACCAGCCAUGCCGCGUGCAGGAAGAAUGUCCUAUGGAUUGUAAACUGCUUUUUUACGGGAAGAAACCCCUGGACGCGUCUGGGGCUGACGGUACUGUAAGAAUCAGGAUCGGCUAACUUCGUGCCAGCCGCCGCGGUAACAC
rnacentral:rRNA from 1 species